rnacentral:misc_RNA from 1 species
UACGGAGGGGGCGAGCGUUGUUCGGAAUUACUGGGCGUAAAGGGCGCGUAGGCGGCAUCGUAAGUCUGAUGUGAAAUCCCUCGGCUUAACCGAGGAACUGCAUCAGAAACUGCGGCGCUUGAAUCCGGGAGGGGGGAGUGGAAUUCCCAGUGUAGCGGUGAAAUGCGUAGAUAUUGGGAGGAACACCGGUGGCGAAGGCGACUCCCUGGACCGGUAUUGACGCUGAGGCGCGAAAGCUAGGGGAGCAAACGGG